rnacentral:rRNA from 1 species
AUGGAUGGGAAACAUCCUACUACUAUAUUGACAGAUCAAUGCAAAGCUAUGCAAAAUGCUUUAUGGACUACAAUGCCCCACACCCGUCAUAGGUGGUGCAGAUGGCAUGUGUUAAAUGUGUUGAAAGAGAAAAUUGGACGUCUGUACAACAAACAUUCUGUCUUCAAGAAGGAAUUCCACGCGAUAGUAAAUGAAGAGACGGAUGUAGAAUCAUUUGAGCGGAGGUGGCAUCAAUUGAUUAAAAAAAUACAAACUUCAAGGAAACAAGUACCUUCGCAGGAUUUUCAAAUGGAGGGACAUGUGGGCAAUGCCAUACUUCAUGGGCAUAUCCUGUGCCGGAAUGACCAGCACGCAACGGAGCGAGAGUGCGAAUCAUCUCCUGAAAAAGUUCAUCAGCAGAUCAUCCCCAAUGGACUUGUUUGUUAA